rnacentral:misc_RNA from 1 species
UCAUGAAUAAUGGUUGUGCUCUGAAUGCCAUAAGAAUAUCUCUUUCUGACCAACCAAAGCUCAUCAAGACCUUCUUUUUCCUUUCCCAUUUUGAGUUGCCCAUAGCGGACAUUGAAAAAAAAGCAUAUGUAAAGGUCUUGCUCAUUGGUUCAAUCCCCAUAUCCUUGAGUUCUGCAACCUUUUCUUCAUAAGAAUCAAAUCCAAGAAAUAGAAAUUUAGGAUGCAAUACUACUAGCCUCCUAAUACUGGGUACUGGCACACCAAAAGCACACAAGGUGCAUAUCUUAGACAUCAUCAAUUCAGUAUCCAACCAAAGUACACUAAAGCAUCGCUUCAAGGACAAUAUAAAAUUCUCCUCGGUCUCAAGAAACCCUCUAAGGAAAUCAGCAUUUGGCAAAAUUCGAUUCUUUAAACUAGCUGCCAGAAUCCUUGGGUCUGCACAUAGCGCCCUGGGCAGCCAGGGAGCUAAAAAACCGAGUGACUCAAAGUAUUCAAUCUUGGGUCUAAGGAUUUUAUCGGGAUCUAAUAGAAUAAGUUGCGGUCGCCUUGAAAUUAAGCAAGCAAUUUGAGAUUGAGUAAAUCCUUUAGCUCUUAAGAGUUGAAGAACCAAAUCCGCUUUAUCUGUGCUCUUAAUUUUUACAAACUUGCAGGCUGAAGUGGCCAUUUCUAGAGACAUCCCACAUGAGUUGGUGAAGUAAUGGAGUGUUAAAUGCUGUUGUUCUUUUGAGCUUGAGGCUGAUUUUAGAGAUGAACUAUAACGAGCGUAACACGCUUUGGAGCGUCUGAUGGCAUGAUUUAUGAGUAAUUUGAAUAAGAAACGAAACAUUGAUUGGAAAUAGAAAGAAGGGGUUUGAGGAAUGUAAACUUACAGGAUAUGAGAAGCCAGAAAUCGAGAGCUUUGCAAUUAGAAACGCAAACCCUGCUGGAAAAAUGGCACAAAAGAGAGCGAGCGGGUUUAAAGCUAGGGAGGAGAAUUUCGAC